rnacentral:rRNA from 1 species
AGUGAACGCUGGAGGUAGGCCUAACACAUGCAAGUCGAACGGCAGCACAGGAGAGCUUGCUCUCUGGGUGGCGAGUGGCGGACGGGUGAGGAAUACAUCGGAAUCUACUCUGUCGUGGGGGUUAACGUAGGGAAACUUAAGCUAAUACCGCAUACGACCUACGGGUGAAAGCAGGGGAUCUUCGGACCUUGCGCGAUUGCAUGAGCCGAGGUCGGAUUAGCUAGUUGGCGGGGUAAAGGCCCACCAAGGCGACGAUCCGUAGCUGGUCUGAUAGGAUGAACAGCUCCGCGGGGACUGUGACACGGUCCAGACUCCUACGGGAGGCAGCAGUGGGGAAUAUGGGACAAUGGGCGCAAGCCUGUUCCAGCCAUACCGCGUGGGUGAAGAAGGCCUUCGGGUUGUAAAGCCCUUUUGUUGUGAAAGAAAUCCAGCUGGCUAAUACCCGGUUGGGAUGACGGUACCCAAAGAAUAAGCACCGGCUAACUUCGUGCCAGCCGCCGCCGUAA